rnacentral:rRNA from 1 species
UCGAACGGCAGCACGGAGCUUGCUCUGGUGGCGAGUGGCGAACGGGUGAGUAAUAUAUCGGAACGUACCCUAGAGUGGGGGAUAACGUAGCGAAAGUUACGCUAAUACCGCAUACGAUCUAAGGAUGAAAGUGGGGGAUCGCAAGACCUCAUGCUCGUGGAGCGGCCAAUAUCUGAUUAGCUAGUUGGUAGGGUAAAAGCCUACCAAGGCAUCGAUCAGUAGCUGGUCUGAGAGGACGACCAGCCACACUGGAACUGAGACACGGUCCAGACUCCUACGGGAGGCAGCAGUGGGGAAUAUUGGACAAUGGGCGAAAGCCUGAUCCAGCCAUGCCGCGUGUGUGAAGAAGGUCUUCGGAUUGUAAAGCACUUUAAGUUGGGAGGAAGGGCAGUAAAUUAAUACUUUGCUGUUUUGACGUUACCGACAGAAUAAGCACCGGCUAACUCUGUGCCAGCAGCCGCGGUAAU